UACGUAGGGGGCUAGCGUUGUCCGGAAUCAUUGGGCGUAAAGAGCGCGUAGGCGGCUAGAUAAGUCCGGUGUGAAAGUCACAGGCUCAACCUGUGAAUGCCGCUGGAAACUGUCUGGCUAGAGUCCGGAAGGGGCGAGUGGAAUUCCUGGUGUAGCGGUGAAAUGCGCAGAUAUCAGGAGGAACACCAAUAGCGAAGGCAGCUCGCUGGGACGUUACUGACACUGAGGCGCGAAAGCGUGGGGAGCGAACAGG
rnacentral:rRNA from 1 species